UAGAGAUUUUAAGUUGAACUUAGUUUGGAAAAUAAGUGGAUUACAUUCCGGACAAAGUUUAAACAGUUGGAUCAAGAAAGGGCAAAGGAGCAUUACAGCCUGGAAAGUUAAACACAUUAAAAGAGGAUGAUAUAGACGAAGGUGCCGGUGUUAAUUUCGAGUGCCUUGAACUUAUCACCGCAGAGGAAAUAAAAGAGGCGAUUCCGCCAAUCGGAAUAAGAAUUCUUUUCCGCGAAAAGCUGUUCGCUUGGAGGAAAACGAAGUUUGCCCAAGAAAAAUCUCCACAUUCAUCGCCUCCAAAGCCACCGCCACCAAAGUCACACCUCCUCUUCAUAUCUGCCGGUGUUAUUUUCGAGUGCCUUGAAUUUAUCACCGCAGAGGAAAUAAAAGAGGCGAUUCUGCCAAUCGCUUGGAGGAAAACGAAGUUUGCCAAAGAAAAAAAUCAUCGCCUCCAAAGCCACCACCCCAAAAGUCACACCUCCUCUUCAUAUGUGCCGGUGUUAAUUUCGAGUGCCUUGAAUUUAUCACCGCAGAGGAAAUAAAAGAGGAGAUUCCGCCAAUCGGAAUAAGAGUUCUUUUCCGCGAAAAGCUGUUCGCUUGGAGGAAAACGAAGAUUGCCCAAGAAAAGUCUCCACAAUCAUCGCCUGCAAAGCCACCGCCACCAAAGUCACACCUCCUCUUCAUAUGUAUGUUUU